rnacentral:lncRNA from 1 species
UUUGCUUGUGUCCCGGACUUUGGGGAGGCGUUUCAGCGAGUCAGUACUCACGAUGUGGUUCUCACUUCUCGGUCUAAGGAGCUGCAUCAGGUUUAAUGGAGGUGAAUCUAGAUUCGGCUUUUGGCAUUUGUCUUUUUACUUAUUGAUUUUGAAAAAAUUUUGGACGUUAGCGAACUUGCAGGAACAGCGCGGAAGUCCCAGGUGCUUGUCACUCGUCUUACCCUGAUGGUCGAGCCUCGAAUGACCGUAGAGCAGCAUCAGGACCGGGAAGGUAACCGCCGCAGUCUGGGCCACUAAAGUGCAGACCUCCCUCAGACGCCGCCAGUUUUUUCUUAACGUUCUUUUUCCGCUCAGAAUCCAGCUCAAAGUCCCCGUUGCACUUCACCUUCGUCUCCUCCAACCAGUCUUCCUGACCUUUCGUGGCAGUGACGCUUUGAGGCGUUCUUUUGUCUGUGUCUCAGGGGCUGCUGUGGGACCUGACCCGAGAGGAGGAGGCCCUGCGUCUUCUCGGGGUGUCUUUGUCGCGGAAGGAACGCGAAGCUUUGGGCGCGGCUGCUCCGGAAGUGCCACCGAGGGCUUUGCGGUGCGUCGCACCCGCUCGGCCCCCUGCAGGUGCUGUGAAGCUCAGUCACCUGGCUACGGUGCUGUAUGCCGGAUUUCUCCACGACAAAGUGACUGUUUUUCCCCUUUCAAUAGACACGUAUCUCGGGGCAGACACGCUCAGCCUGUGUGCUGAUACGCUGUUUGUCCCCAGAUCUUUGUCCGCUGACGUUGGCCUCCAGCUGUGGAUCCUGACUGCAGCAAUUAUCACUGCGUGACGUGUGUCUCUUCAGAGUUUUGUAUUUCCCUUGUGCCUUAUGCGUCUAUUAAUUGGGAUUCUUCUCUAAGGAAGAUCUGUCCUUUCUGUCCUGUUUAAGCAUUGAUUUAUGUGUUUAUGUAUUUAUGCCGGGAGGACUCAUGGGUAUUUAUGUAAUUAUGUAUUUAUUUAUUUUUGGCUUAGGUUUUAGCCAUGGAGCGCCUUCACACUGUCUUUUGUGUCCUGUUGACACACCCCCAUGCUUUUAUGAGAAAGUCCGCUUUUCUGGUCCCACAAAACGCUCCAGCCUCAACCUGUGUUUUCCUUCCCAGCCCUGGAAUCGGCCACUUCUCCAAGGAGCCCUGGUUUUCCUUUUUUUGGAAAACGGUGUGUGGAAACCAGGGUUUGGAUGCUUGGUACUUUUUCUUUCUUUCCUCUUUUUAUUUCUUCUUUUUACAGCCACACCGGCAGCAUAUGGAAGUUCCUGGGCUAGGGGUCGAAUGCGAGCUGCAGCUGCAGGCCUGCAUCACAGCGGCGGCUGUCCUGGAUGUGAGCCCAGUCUGCGACCUACACCUCAGCUUAUGGCAACGCUGGAUCCUCAGCCCGCUAAAUGAAGCCAGGCAUCAAACCUGCACCCUCACAGGGACAAGUUGGGUCCUUAAGCUGCUGAGCCGCAGUGGGCACUCCUGCUUGGUGUUUUCACUGUGACGUCAUCACUGCAAGGUCCCCUCAGCAGACAGAGCUCGGAAAUACAUGUCAGGGAGACACCUGACCCUCCUCAUCUGCAGCGCAGGUGCCUGUUGGCUCCAGCCUGGGAUCCACCUGAGGUGUUUACAGAAUUACUGCUCCAUAACCCUGAGGGGAACAGACGGAGGAGUAGGCUGCAGUAUCCGUGCACAACGCUUUCUAGCCUCACAGCACCUGGUCAGGAUCUUGUUUGUCAAAGUUACGCAGGCUGGUGCGUGGCUUCCACAUCCUCGGCGUGCGUGUGUGGUUCACCGACAGCACGGAGAGGUUUUCGUUUCUCUCUGCGGUCCGUUUUUACCCCUCGCCUACCCCCGCCGCCCUGCUUCCUGGUUGGGGAGAGGGUGUGUGUGUGUGUGCGCACGUGCAUGUACAGGCGUGUAUGUAGCACAUCCCCCCUGUUCUGAGGGUCGCAGCUGUAAAACCCCUGGGGGAGUGUCCUCUCUCCUCCUUUUUCUGUCCCCUUCCUCCUCGUUCUGCCCCUUCUUCCUCGCACCGCGGGCCUCGGAGCUCGGCAGUUUCUGGCUUUGCUUUCCUGUGUUGCUUUUGCACAACGUAUGAGCAGCUUAGGAGGCUGAGUGGUAACUUGCAUCCCGUAAAAUCCCCCGACUCCGAGUACGUGUACAGAUGGGGGAUUCGGGGCAGGUUAGUGGAGUCGUGCAGUCAUCGCGGAACAGAGUUCUCAAGCGCCUCCCUCACGGCAGUAAGGUCCUUGUCCCCAGCCCUAGGGGGUCACGAAACGUCCUGUCACUUGCGAUUUGCCUCCUCUGGACAUUUCCUAUAAAUGGAACUGUACAAUAUGUGAUCUUUUGAGUUUGGCUUCUUUCACUUGGCCUUUUUUUUUGGGGGGGCCACACCUGCGGCAUAUGGAGGUUCCCAGGCCAGGGGUCGAAUCAGAGCUGUAGCCGCCGACCUACACCCCAGCCACAGCAACGCGGGAUCUGAGCCGCGUCUAUGACCUACCCCACAGCUCACGGCAACGCUGGGUCCUCAACGCACUGAGCAAGGCCAGGCAUGGAACCCACAUCCUCAUGGAGACUAGUUGGGUUCAUAACCCGCUGAGCCAGAACGGGAACUCCAGCAUAAUGGUUCUGAGGUUCAUCCACCUUGUGUGCUGUUCUGGUGUUUCAUUGCUUUUGUUAGUGGACUGGUAUUUCGUGGAUAUUUGGGUUGUUUCUACUUUGGGGCUACUGUGAAUGAAAAUGUUGCCAUGCACAUUCACCUGUAGGUCUUUGCGUCUCUUGGCUAUAGACCUAGGAAUGGAACCUCUGGGUCAGGUGGUAAGCGUAUGUUUACGUUUGCAAGGAACCGCCCAGGCACCUCCCGCAGUGACUCUGCCGUCUUGUAUCACCACCAGCAAUGCCCGAGGGUGCCCAUCUCUCCACAUCCUUGACAGCAGUUGCCAUUGUCUGUCUUUUUAAAAUUAUAACUGUUCUAGGGAGUGUGAAGUGGUAUCUCAUAAUUGUACUUUGUACUUCUUGAAUAAUUAAUGAUGUGCAGUUUUUAUGCGUUUAUUAGCCAUUAACCUACUGCCCUUGGAAAAACGUCUGUUUCAAUCUUUUGUCCGUUCUAACUGGGUUGUUUGUUGUGCUGUCGAGUUGCCCUUCCUCAUCAGCCCUUGUAAGGCGCAUGGCCUACAAAUCUUUCCCACCAGCUCCUGACUUAUUUUCUUGAUGAUGUCUUUUGAGGUUCAGAUGCUUUGGAUUUUCAUAAAGUCCAAUUUAGUAAUUUUUAAACUCAUAGAUUGGGUGUUUGGUUUUUAUCUAGUGUUGUACCUAAAAACUCUUUACCUAGCCCGAGGUCUCAAAGAUUUUCUUGGAAAAGCUUCGUAUUUUGUCCUAAAAGCUUUCUGGUUUUCCCUCUUACAUUUAGGCCUCUGCUGCAAGUUGUGAUUUUUGUGCAUGGGGUAAGAGCCUAAAUAAAUCCUUUCUGCGCGUGGAUAUCCAGUUGUCUCCGCACCAUUUGUUGAAGAGACUCUCAUUUCUCCCAGUAAAUUGCCUUAGCACUUUUGUCUAAAAUGGAGUGGCCAUCGACAUAAGGGUUUGUUUCUAGACUCAUGAUUCUGUUCCAGUGGUCUGUGUGUCUGCCUCUGCCUGAAACACAUUGUCUUGAUAACUGCAGCUUUAUGGUAAGUGAAAAUCCUCCAGGUCUGUUCUUCUUUUGCAAAAUAUUUUGGCUCUGCUCAGUCUUCUGUGUUUCCAUAUAAAAUGUCAAGUUCUGUUAAAAAAAAAAAAAAAAAA